UACGGAGGGGGCAAGCGUUAUUCGGAAUUACUGGGCGUAAAGCGCACGUAGGCGGCGCAGUAAGUCAAAGGUGAAAGCCCUCGGCUCAACCGAGGAGUUGCCUUUGAAACUGCUACGCUUGAGUCCGGGAGGGGGGAGCGGAAUUCCCAGUGUAGCGGUGAAAUGCGUAGAUACUGGGAGGAACACCGGUGGCGAAGGCGGCUCCCUGGACCGGUACUGACGCUGAGGUGCGAAAGCGUGGGUAGCAAAC
rnacentral:rRNA from 1 species